rnacentral:RNase_MRP_RNA from 2 species
GCUUACGCUGAAGGCCUGUUUCCUAGGCAACAGAAGGAGGACUUGUUCCUCAUCGUAGCCUAGGGGAAUGUCCCUGAUCCCAGGCAGAAAGUGCCACAUGCACAUGCACUCAGACUGUCCCUACUUCUCAAGUAAAGUCUGCAAGAAGCUGGCUGGGCCCUGCUGCUCCUUGUGGGGAUGUCAUCAUCAACCAAAUGGGGAUCAUUCUCAGAACAGG